AAUGACGGGCCCGCACAAGCAGCGGAGCGUGUGGUUUAAUUCGAUGUUACACGAAGAACCUUACCAGGGUUUGACAUGCAAGUGGUAGGAAGCCGAAAGGUGACCGACCCUUCGGGGAGCUUGCACAGGUGCUGCAUGGCUGUCGUCAGCUCGUGUCGUGAGAUGUUCGGUUAAGUCCGCUAACGAGCGCAACCCUCGCUGUGUGUUAUAUGUGUCACACGGGACUGCCGGUCUUAAGCCGGAGGAAGGUGGGGAUGAUGUCAAGUCAGCAUGGCCUCUAUAUCCUGGGCUACACACACGCUACAAUGGUCGGUACAAUAGGUUGCCAAGCCGCGAGGCGGAGCCAAUCCACAAAGCCGGCCUCAGUUCAGAUUGUAGGCUGCAACUCGCCUGCAUGAAGAUGGAGUUGCUAGUAACCGCAGGUCAGCAAUACUGCGGUGAAUACGUUCCCGGGGCUU
rnacentral:rRNA from 1 species